AAAAUGCUGGAGUCAAUUAUUAAAGUGGUAAUAAUGGGGGAUUUGGAUAGCAGGAAAAGGAUUAGUCCAAGUCAACAUGGAUUUAUGAAAGGGAAAUCAUGCUUGACUAAUCUUCUGGAAU